rnacentral:rRNA from 1 species
CAGUGAGGAAUAUUGGUCAAUGGCCUAACGGCUGAACCAGCAAUUUGAACGGAUGUCCUGUUUUUUAAACGGGUUGAAAUAGCUAAGGCGAAAGCUAACUAAGGCUUUUAGCGGUUUACCCGCAUAAAGAUCUGAUAGGAUACUGAUAAUGACAAUAUUUUAUAUAAGUCUUGACUAAAUCACGUUCCAGCAGUCGCGGCAAUACGGGAAAGACGAGUGUUAUUCAUCUUUAAUAGGUUUAAAGGGUACCUAGACAGUGUAUUUUGCUUUUAUUGGUACAUUUAUGCUAGAGUUUUAUGUGAGAGGAGUUUAGUACUAACGGAGUAGAGAUGAAAUUCUUUGAUACUGUUGGGCACUGAUAACGGCGAAGGCAGACCUUUAUGUAAAAACUGACGUUGAAGGACGAAGG